ensembl:lncRNA
CACCACUGGGUCAGAGGGGAGCCAUGUGCCUGCUCCACUAGCGUCGUUUUCAACCGAAGCCGAAUGUUUACAGGGAUUCGUUUGCAUCUCUCCCUUUGCUCGUAAACGUUUUGUCAUCUCUAGCAUCUCCAUUUACCAGGGGCUGGUAAGCUGAUUCAGUAAAAGGUGCGUCUGAUCGCCUGACAUUCCUGGACCACUUCCAAGCCAUGAGUGCUCUCCUCCAACUGCUUCCAAAUCCAGGUGUUCACCAGAAACCAAAGUGACAUCAAAGCGGCAAGGGCUGCAGGAAGGGAAGGGCUUCCUGCCCUUAGGUUCUGAUUUCCAGACCUCCCCCUAAAGAUGAGGCUGGCUUCUCCAUCAUGAAAGCUUUGUUCUGGGAGAACAGAGGGCCAGAGAAGACCAGGAAAGGACACUGGCCACAUCCUUUCUCCAGCCAACUGGUUGCCCAGCGCAGUCACCUCCAGUUCUGUUUGAUGCUUAGGGUCCCCAAGAGGGAGCACUACCCCAGGUGGCCUGGAGGCUCCCCACACCUGGGCCAGGAGGAGGGCAGCAGCAUGGGCUGCUGGGCGAGGCGCUCAGACAGCUGCCCGUGGCUGGAGCACACUGCACCUGUGUGCAGCCUGGAGCCGCCCUGGGAUGAACCACGUUCAGGCAGGAGGCCAGUUGGCCAGCCUCCAGGGGGCUUCUCAGUGAUCGGGGUCAUGGGGCUAUGAAACCCAGUUUUUGAGUGUGUGAAGGGGACUGGGGGUGGCAGGUGGUGGAGACAGUGGCUUUUUAUGAACCACUUGUGGAUCAAGUCAACCACCCAGUUCUGUUGUGUAAAGACUUUGUGAAAAAUGUGAGCUCUCAACACUGGCAAAUGCUGUUUUAGCACGUGUGUUCCCGUCUCCUGUGAGAGAUGAAUGAGAACAGAGAUUGUUCCGUGUGCUGCUCCUCCAGUUUUGUGUUUGAUCUGACUGUAAAGAACACUUUUCUCAGAAGUGGGACUUUUCUUUCCCCUCCCUCUCUCCCUCACUUCCUCCCUCCCUCCCUUUCUCUCCGCACAUCUAGCCUUGCCUGCCACUACACUGCUGUGAGAGAUCCCGUGUUACACUUCUCUGCAGGUAGCCCAGGGGAGGGCAUGUCUAGAGCAAAUAUGGAAGUUCUCUGUACAUCUGUAGCCCUCUCUUCUUCGUUUGAAGUAUUAUUUCUGUGACACUAACAUCACAGUGAAAGCAGAUCCAGGGUUCCAGGUCUCUGAAAGGCAGGAGAAUUAAAAUAGACUGAGGACUGGAUUACCAGGCAAAACCCCUUCUGGCCUCAGUUUUCUUUACGGGCGGCAUCUGCCCUCCAGCCCACCCUGCCUUGUCCUCAGAGGAGCCAUCUUUGGACCCUCAGCAGCUGCAGGUCAGGCCCUUCAGCUCACGGGGCUGGGCAGAGUGAGUCACACAUCAUGGGCUCAACAGUCUAAGAGUUCUCAGCCCAUUGCUGAAGAUGGUGACCCCAGGGCAGUUCCAUACCUGAAGAAGCCCACCAGAAUGAGCUGCCCCAGAACCGAGGGUCAGAAACAAGCACAGAGUGCCGACUGCGAGUGCCACGUGUCUUGGAAGUUAGUACAGAGAUACGCCUUCAGGGUCUUUGACUUGAUAGCAAAUUCCCAUUGAUAUUCCCUUUAUUUUACACUCUUGGGUUAAUUUCCAGUCAGC